CCUACGGGUGGCAGCAGUGGGGAAUAUUCGGCAAUGGGCGCAAGCCUGACCCAGCAACGCCGCGUGAAUGAAGAAGGCUUUCGGAUUGUAAACUUCUUUUGUGAGGGAAGAGCAGGAGACGGUACCUCUUGAUUAAGCCACGACUGACUACGUGCCAGCAGCCGCGGGAAUACGGAGGUGGCAAGCGUUGUCCGGAUUUACUGGGUGGACAGGGCGUGUAGCCGGGCUGACUAAUCAGAUGUGAAAUUCCGGGGGUCAACCCAGGACCUGACUUUGAAACUGUUUGUCUUGAGUAUCGGAGAGGCAGGCGGAAUUCCUAGUGUAGCGGUGAAAUGCGUAGAUAUUAGGAGGAACACCAGUGGCGAAGGCGGCCUGCUGGACGACAACUGACGGUGAGGCGCGAAAGCGUGGGGAGCAAACAGGAUUAGAUACCCGUGUAGUC
rnacentral:rRNA from 1 species